rnacentral:rRNA from 1 species
UCGAACGCAUCCUUCGGGAUGAGUGGCAGACGGGUGAGUAACGCGUGGGAAUCUACCCAUCCCUACGGGAUAGCUCCGGGAAACUGGAAUUAAUACCGUAUACGUCCUUCGGGAGAAAGAUUUAUCGGGGAUGGAUGAGCCCGCGUUGGAUUAGCUAGUUGGUGGGGUAAAGGCCUACCAAGGCGACGAUCCAUAGCUGGUCUAAGAGGAUGAUCAGCCACAUUGGGACUGAGACACGGCCCAAACUCCUACGGGAGGCAGCAGUGGGGAAUAUUGGACAAUGGGCGCAAGCCUGAUCCAGCCAUGCCGCGUGAGUGAUGAAGGCCCUAGGGUUGUAAAGCUCUUUCAGUGGGGACGAUAAUGACGGUACCCACAGAAGAAGCCCCGGCUAACUUCGUGCCAGCAGCCGCGGUAAUACGAAGGGGGCUAGCGUUGUUCGGAAUUACUGGGCGUAAAGCGCACGUAGGCGGAAAUUUAAGUCAGGGGUGAAAUCCCGGGGCUCAACCCCGGAACUGCCUUUGAUACUGGGUUUCUUGAGUUCGGAAGAGGUAAGUGGAAUUGCGAGUGUAG